rnacentral:rRNA from 1 species
GACAGAGGUCCCGAGCGUUAGGCGGAAUCACUGGGCUUAAAGCGUGUGUAGGCGGAGUGCUAAGUACCUUGUGAAAUCCCACGGCUCACCCGUGGAACUGCUUGGUAUACUGGUUCUCUUGAGCCACUUAGGGGCGAGCGGAACAAACGGUGGAGCGGUGAAAUGCGUAGAUAUCGUUUGGAACGCCAAUGGUGAAAACAGCUCGCUGGGAGUGUGCUGACGCUGAGACACGAAAGCCAGGGGAGCGAACGGG